UACGUAGGGUGCGAGCGUUGUCCGGAAUUACUGGGCGUAAAGAGCUCGUAGGCGGCUUGUCGCGUCGGCUGUGAAAACCUGGGGCUCAACCCCAGGCGUGCACCCGAUACUCCCGGGCUGGAGGCAGGUAGGGGAGAUCGGAAUUCCUGGUGUAGCGGUGAAAUGCGCAGAUAUCAGGAGGAACACCGGUGGCGAAGGCGGAUCUCUGGGCCUUGCCUGACGCUGAGGCGCGAAAGCUAGGGGAGCGAACAGG
rnacentral:rRNA from 1 species